GGGCCGCUUCGCGAGCGCGGCACAAGAUGUAUGCUCAUGCUCGCUGUCGCCGCAGGGGAAUCCGGUGGAAGUCCGGAACUGUCCCGCAACGGUGUGUUGGUGCGCUUUCGCGUACCCACGAGUCCGAAGACCUGCCGAACAGCGCACCCGGCC
rnacentral:ncRNA from 1 species